rnacentral:rRNA from 1 species
UACGUAGGGUCCGAGCGUUGUCCGGAAUUAUUGGGCGUAAAGAGCUCGUAGGCGGUGUGUCGCGUCGGCCGUGAAAACCUGCAGCUUAACUGUGGGCUUGCGGUGGAUACGGGCAGACUUGAGUUCGGUAGGGGAGACUGGAAUUCCUGGUGUAGCGGUGAAAUGCGCAGAUAUCAGGAGGAACACCGGUGGCGAAGGCGGGUCUCUGGGCCGAUACUGACGCUGAGGAGCGAAAGCGUGGGGAGCGAACAGG